CCCUUAGAUGUUCUGGGCCGCACGCGCGCUACACUGAUGCAUUCAACGAGUUUCUUCCUGGUCCGAGAGGAAUGGGUACCCUUUUGAAAGUGCAUCGUGAUAGGGAUAGACUAUUGCAAUUAUUGGUCUUCAACGAGGAAUUCCUAGUAGACGUAGUUCAUCAGACUGCAUCGAUUACGUCCCUGCCCUUUGUACACACCGCCCGUCGCUCCUACCGAUUGAAUGCUCAGGUGAGCCAUUCGGACUUUCAUCAUGCUGGUUUCCAGUUUUGAUGAAGGAAAGUCUUGCGAACCUUAUCAUUUAGAGGAAGGAGAAGUCGUAACA
rnacentral:rRNA from 1 species